UUACAUGUUAACACGGAAACCCUUCAAUCUGAGUCUAGGAGAUGGAAAGAGAUUGGAGGAGAAGAAAAUAUAGAAAAAAUUUAUACAUACAGAAUCCUAUAAAGAGAUGGAGGUUGCAUAGAGACACAGGGGUUCAAUAUUCUGUUACAUUUUGAAGAGUUACGUCCCUUUCCAAAGUGGUGACUUCUAAAUUAACUUGAUAUAUAGCUUCAGAGGCAACAUUGGCAGCAGGA
rnacentral:lncRNA from 1 species